UAGUGGCGCACGGGUGAGUAAUGCAUAGAUAAUGUGCCCCUUAGUUCGGGAUAGCCACUGGAAACGGUGAUUAAUACCGGAUACUCCUUCUUGUUAUAAGACAAGUCGGGAAAGUUUUUCGCUAAGGGAUCAGUCUAUGUUCCAUCAGCUUGUUGGUGAGGUAAUGGCUCACCAAGGCUAUGACGGAUAUCUGGUUUGAGAGGAUGAUCAGACACACUGGAACUGAGACACGGUCCAGACUCCUACGGGAGGCAGCAGUGAGGAAUAUUGCACAAUGGAGGAAACUCUGAUGCAGCAACGCCGCGUGGAGGAUGACGCAUUUCGGUGUGUAAACUCCUUUUAUUAGGGAAGAUAAUGACGGUACCUAAUGAAUAAGCACCGGCUAACUCCGUGCCAGCAGCCGCGGUAAUACGGAGGGUGCAAGCGUUACUCGGAAUCACUGGGCGUAAAGGGUGCGUAGGCUGGCUUUUAAGUCAGAUGUGAAAUCCAAUGGCUCAACCAUUGAACUGCAUUUGAAACUGAAAGCCUAGAGUUCAGAAGGGGCAGAUGGAAUUAGUGGUGUAGGGGUAAAAUCCGUAGAUAUCACUAGAAAUAUCAAAAGCGAAGGCGAUCUGCUGGGAUGAUACUGA
rnacentral:rRNA from 1 species